AAACGGCAUUGAGUGCUUGCACUCUUUGGACGUCGACCGGCGCACGGGUGAGUAACGCGUAUCCAACCUUCCCAUUACUGUGGGAUAACCUGCCGAAAGGCAGACUAAUACCGCAUAGUCUUCGAUGACGGCAUCAGAUUUGAAGUAAAGAUUUAUCGGUAAUGGAUGGGGAUGCGUCUGAUUAGUUUGUUGGCGGGGUAACGGCCCACCAAGGCAACGAUCAGUAGGGGUUCUGAGAGGAAGGUCCCCCACAUUGGAACUGAGACACGGUCCAAACUCCUACGGGAGGCAGCAGUGAGGAAUAUUGGUCAAUGGACGGAAGUCUGAACCAGCCAAGUAGCGUGCAGGAUGACGGCCCUAUGGGUUGUAAACUGCUUUUGUAUGGGGAUAAAGUUAGGGACGUGUCCCUAUUUGCAGGUACCAUACGAAUAAGGACCGGCUAAUUCCGUGCCAGCAGCCGCGGUAAUACGGAAGGUCCAGGCGUUAUCCGGAUUUAUUGGGUUUAAAGGGAGCGUAGGCUGGAGAUUAAGUGUGUUGUGAAAUGUAGACGCUCAACGUCUGAAUUGCAGCGCAUACUGGUUUCCUUGAGUACGCACAACGUUGGCGGAAUUCGUCGUGUAGCGGUGAAAUGCUUAGAUAUGACGAAGAACUCCGAUUGCGAAGGCAGCUGACGGGAGCGCAACUGACGCUUAAGCUCGAAGGUGCGGGUAUCAAACAGGAUUAGAUAUCCUGGUAGUCCGCACAGUAAACGAUGGAUGCCCGCUGUUGGUACCUGGUAUCAGCGGCUAGGCGAAAGCAUUAAGCAUCC
rnacentral:rRNA from 1 species